AAAAAAAUUGGUUGAAUUUUUAAGGCUAGUCAUUGUAUUUAUUGAUUUGUGCGGAUCUAACCUCUCAAACUUUUUGAUUUGCUAAUUUUUAAUCCCUCCAUUGAUUUUUUCUAUUAACUCUGCUAAAUAAUUAGGUACAAUAAAGAAUUUAGUCCCUCAAACUUUACAAAUUUUUUCAAUUUAGCCUUUACUCUCUUUUUUUACUUAUAAAAACUAUACAAAAAUAUAAAGUAAUUAAAAAAUUUAUAAUAUUUCCCAAACUUUCAAUAAAUCAUUGGUCCAAUUACCCAAAUGAAAAACUAAUUUUAUAAAUAAUAAACUUUGAAAAAAACCCAUUUCUUUCAAUUCUUUCCACUUUCUUUUUCCCUAUUCUCUCAACUCUCGUUGCUUCCUCUAGUAAUUGAAAGUAACAAACAAAAUCUUCACUCGAAACCCAAAAAGAAUAAAAGAAAUAAAUCUUUCAUGUCCCUUUGUUACAUGGUUUCCUUUGAUUUUUCUUUUGGAAAUCCACAACAUUAUUUGUUUUGUUUUUGUAAUAGGGCCCAAUCGACCCAGGCCCAAACAAUUAAAAAUAGUCCAGUUACAAGCCCAACGGCCUUACAGGCCCAAAACUAAACCAAACCCCAAAACUAAAAAAAGAAAAAACCCUAGUGACAACAGGGGAGCGCCGCAACUUCCCCCGCCUUCCACGCCUCCAGCGAGUGCCCAGUCGCCGCAAGACUCGGAGAUGGCCCUCUCCACGCGCGCCGUUUCUUCACGAUUAUCUGCAAAAACGGACCUAAGGAGUCCGAGGAAAACAAAAUAGCAAAGAAUAACAGAUGUACUUAUUUUCUUUUUACUUUCAGGCCUACAAGAGACCACUUUUUAUAUGUAAAAGAGGAGGGAUCUUUGGAUAGAGAGAAUCAACAAUAAUAAAGCAGCGAAAACUCGUUUUUUUAAGAGGUGAUUUCUUUUUUUUGUCGACAGUGACUAUCGUUCUACAUAUGUUUUUCAUUUUCUUUCACUUUUCAUUUUGUUUCAUUUAAAAUAACAAAGAAAAAGAAAAAGAAAACUUACCUAAGUUGGGAACCAGUGCCGGAAUUCGGACCGUCCGAAUCGCCUGAGAGGCGGCGCGAGGACGCUAGGGUCCUAAACCCUAGCAGAGCAACAGAGAAACUUUUGUUAUUUUAAUUUAUUUUUCUUUCAUUCGGUUUCAAGUGAUU
rnacentral:lncRNA from 1 species